UCGGUUGAUCCUGCCGGACCUGACUGCUAUCGGAUUGAUACUAAGCCAUGCGAGUCAUUGUAGUAAUACAAGGCAGACGGCUCAGUAACGCGUAGUCAACCUACCCUAUGGACGGGGAUAACCUCGGGAAACUGAGAAUAAUACCCGAUAGAACAUUAUGCCUGGAAUGGUUUAUGUUUCAAAUAAUUUAUUGCCGUAGGAUGGGACUGCGGCCUAUCAGUUUGUUGGUGAGGUAAUGGCCCACCAAGACUAUUACAGGUACGGGCUCUGAGAGGAGUAGCCCGGAGAUGGGUACUGAGACACGGACCCAGGCCCUAUGGGGCGCAGCAGGCGAGAAAACUUUGCAAUGUGCGAAAGCACGACAAGGUUAAUCCGAGUGGUUUCUGCUAAAGGAACCUUUUGUCAGUCCUAGAAACACUGGUGAAUAAGGGGUGGGCAAGUUCUGGUGUCAGCCGCCGCGGUAAAACCAGCACCUCAAGUGGUCAGGAUGAUUAUUGGGCCUAAAGCAUCCGUAGCCUGCUUUGUAAGUUUUCGGUUAAAUCCAUACGCUCAACGUAUGGGCUGCCGGGAAUACUGCAAAGCUAGGGAGUGGGAGAGGUAGACGGUACUCGGUAGGAAGGGGUAAAAUCCUUUGAUCUAUUGAUGACCACCUGUGGCGAAGGCGGUCUACCAGAACACGUCCGACGGUGAGGGAUGAAANCUGGGGGAGCAAACCGGAUUANAUACCCGGGUAGUCCCAGCUGUAAACUAUGCAAACUCAGUGAUGCAUUGGCUUGANGCCAAUGCAGUGNUGCAGGGAA
rnacentral:rRNA from 1 species